rnacentral:misc_RNA from 1 species
UAAUCUCACUACGAUCGACUUUUGUCUUUCCGUAUGUGGACUUGGAUGUUGCCGUGAAUAACAAACGGCUCGUCUGAAAUGCCUGAGUGUACCCCGCUUUGCGGCGUAUUCGGUGUGAUACAUCUUCACCGGAGUUGAUCCUUCUGGGUCGCGUCUGCAAUUGGUGUGGCUCUAUGCUUCGAACCGUCUUCUAGUAGAGACAAUCUUUGACA